rnacentral:rRNA from 1 species
GGACUACCAGGGUUUCUAAUCCUGUUUGCUCCCCACGCUUUCGCACCUCAGCGUCAGUACCGGGCCAGUGAGCCGCCUUCGCCACUGGUGUUCUUGCGAAUAUCUACGAAUUUCACCUCUACACUCGCAGUUCCACUCACCUCUCCCGGACUCAAGCUCCUCAGUAUCAAAGGCAGUUCUGGGGUUGAGCCCCAGGAUUUCACCUCUGACUUAAAGAGCCGCCUACGUGCGCUUUACGCCCAGUGAUUCCGAGCAACGCUAGCCCCCUUCGUAUUACCGCGGCGGCUGGCAC